UACGUAGGGUGCGAGCGUUUGUCCGGAAUUAUUGGGCGUAAAGAGCUCGUAGGCGGUCUGUCGCGUCGGAUGUGAAAUCCCAAGGCUUAACCUUGGGCCUGCAUUCGAUACGGGCAGACUAGAGUUCGGUAGGGGAGACUGGAAUUCCUGGUGUAGCGGUGAAAUGCGCAGAUAUCAGGAGGAACACCGGUGGCGAAGGCGGGUCUCUAGGCCGACACUGACGCUGAGGAGCGAAAGCGUGGGGAGCGAACAGG
rnacentral:rRNA from 1 species